rnacentral:rRNA from 1 species
UACGUAGGGGGCAAGCGUUAUCCGGAUUUACUGGGUGUAUAGGGGGCGCAGACGGCGAUGCAAGCCAGGAGUGAAAGCCCGGGGCCCAACCCCGGGACUGCUCUUGGAACUGCGUGGCUGGAGUGCAGGAGGGGCAGGCGGAAUUCCUGGUGUAGCGGUGAAAUGCGUAGAUAUCAGGAGGAACACCGGUGGCGAAGGCGGCCUGCUGGACUGCAACUGACGUUGAGGCCCGAAAGCGUGGGGAGCAAACAGG